rnacentral:rRNA from 1 species
UACGUAGGGUGCGAGCGUUAAUCGGAAUUACUGGGCGUAAAGCGUGCGCAGGCGGUUAUGUAAGACAGUUGUGAAAUCCCCGGGCUCAACCCUGGGAACUGCAUCUGUGACUGCAUCGCUGGAGUGCGGCAGAGGGGGAUGGAAUUCCGCGUGUAGCAGUGAAAUGCGUAGAGAUGCGGCGGAACACCGAUGGGCGAAGGCAGCCCCCUGGGCUGAGAUUGACGCUCAGGCACGAAAGCGUGGGGAGCAAACAGG